AUUAUUUUGGCAGAUUAGUGCAUUAAAUUUAGAAUUUAAAUAAUGAAAUAUUUUCAAAAUAAUA
rnacentral:tRNA from 1 species